UCAAUCUAAACCGACAUAUAUUCAUAUAAUCGAUUAUUUACUUUAAAUCUAGCUGAAGCGUCCGAGAUCACCAAAUUCGAAUGGUAUAAAGUAUGGAAACAUCAUUAUAUCUGUAGGAUGGAGGAAGAGGACGCCAGGAGGGAGGCAGCGAUGGCUGCUACUGAGCUUUUUCAGCCUAAUUUUCAAUCUAGUUCGAUCUCACACACCCAGCUAUACAAGCUCAAAGAGUUACGUAAAAGACGUCUGCAAAUUAAAAAGAAUACUUCAAGCUUUAAGAAGAUGAAAGGAAAGACGAAUGGAGAUAGGACCAAUAUGGUGGGUGAAGUUGGUGGUAAGAAGGAUAUUAACCAAACAGAUUGUCAACAAAGUGUUGUGCUAGAGGAAGCGUUCCCAUGUGCUAAAAAUGAGCAUGGCAAUACAAAAUGCAUGAAACAGAAUGCACUAUUGCCGUGGAAGAAACAGCAGAAGCUACAUUGGGGGUUGCUAGCUUAUUCGUUACUGGACUGAUUAUAAUGUUGAUUCCAUACUUGUGCUCACGAGCUAGCAUCUUGCUCCCUCAUGUUCACAGGCUUGAUACUAAGGAACGCUGGGAACGGAAGGGGAACAUGUGAUUCUCUUACACAUUGCAUGCUACGAGAUUAUUUUCAAAGCAAUUUGGUAUUCACGUUUAGUCACCAUGUAAGGAAAAAGCUCUAGUUGAAAUUGAACUAUGUUCAAUAGCUGGUUUCUCAAUCAUCUGACUACAUGAUUCGAGUCUCCAGCUUCUGAGGACUAGCAAUGGCAAAAAGUACAUGUGCAUCAUUAUCUGUAAAUUAGUGCAAAUAAAUUGUUGUGUGAUACACCUUAAUCUGUAAUUGUCUAACUUGACCUUUGCAAACUCGUAGAAUGGGUUUGAACUGAGGGUGAACAGGUAUGAUGUUAGAAUCAAUUAAUAUUCAGGUUGAAUAUCCUUAUGCCAAUAGGUUGUAUGGAUUAAAUACUUGAAAUGCGGAUAAACAAAAUUGUUGUAUAAUGAUCUGUUUUUUGUCUUUCUGCUUU